CAAUCGGCCCUUUUGAGGGCCAACAAGUGUGUACUAAAUAGUUAUU
rfam:Aedes aegypti strain Liverpool supercont1.202 genomic scaffold, whole genome shotgun sequence.